AGGGAAUCUUCCAAAAUGGAGGAAAGUCUGAUGGGGCAACCCCGCGUGAGUGAUAAAGGUUUUCGGAUCGAAAAACUCUGUUGUAAGGGAAGAACAAGUACGUCAGGCAAUGGAGGUACCUUGACGGUACCUUAUUAAAAAGCCACGGUAAAUUAGGUGCAGCAGCCGCGGUAAACGUAGGUGGCAAGCGUUGUCCGGAAUUAUUGGGCGUAAAGCGCGCGCAGGUGGUUUCUUAAGUCUGAUGUGAAAGCCCACGGCUUAACCGUGGAGGGUCAUUGGAAACUGGGAGACUUGAGUGCAGAAGAGGAAAGUGGAAUUCCAAGUGUAGCGGUGAAAUGCGUAGAGAUUUGGAGGAACACCAGUGGCGAAGGCGACUUUCUGGUCUGCAACUGACGCUGAGGCGCGAAAGCAUGGGGAGCAAACA
rnacentral:rRNA from 1 species